UCAAUACAGUUGUCCUCCAUUAGCUCUCUUCCUCCCAAUGAAGACAGUUUAUUUGGUUGCUGUUCUCCAGUUCCUACCUUUUAUGCUCCCUGAGAGCAGAAACUUUCACUCACUUCGAUACUCGAUAGAACAGCUUUAAUCUACAACCCAAGUAAAACUCUGGAUACCCAUGGAUUUUGAACUAAGGAGAAGCCUCCAGAUCAUCUAGUUUGGUCCUCUAAUUACAAAGAGGGAAAGAGAAACACAGAGAGAUGAAACAGCUUGCCCAAGGUUACACAGAAAAUACAUAAGGAAGUAAAGAUUCAGAGAUUCAACCAAGUUCUAAUGAAUCCAAAUUCAGUGGGAGGCCUACUGAUGGAGUGAGAGGACCUUCUGAAACAUUGAACCCAUUUGGGUGACUCACUUCAAUUCUCUGGGUUAGAGUUUGCUUCUUUGCAAAAUGAGAGAGCUGUGCUCACUGGACCUUUGAGCUCUCCCCUAGCUUCACCUCAGGCAUCUGGUGCUCAUUCUGCUGAUGACAUGAUAAUACAAACAUCUAUGUUGCCAUUUUACAAAUGAACACAUUGAGACUGGGAAGGCAACUGACUUGCCCAUAAUAACAAGGCAAGACCCAAGACCCACGACAAGACAAAAUCCAGUUCUCCCAAUUCCUGGUGCUCUUUCCAUCCUCCUAUACUCCUGAACCUUGGCAGUCCUGAGACAUCUUGUGUGUCCUUAAUAAGAUCCAGAUGAAAACUCAUCAUUUCCUUUCAUUUCCUACCACGAGGACCUAAUUAAACAUGUCUCCUUUCAGUUUCA